GUCUGUAACCAUAUUAUCACACCGAUGGAAGUUCUGUGACUGCUGCUGACUAAGAAUAAACAUAAAUAUGGUGUGGGGAAGACCUACACACAUCACGCUUUCCAGCUGAAUAAGCUUCUCGCCAGCAACUUACCUGUUCAUCCAGUUGUCUGACACCGAACUCCUCUGCUAAAGAGCUACUCACCUGCCUCUUACCUGAUCAUCCUGCUCCCCGAGACCCAUCAACACGCCACCUGCUUCCCCUGAACUCCGGUGUGGAGACAUUCUUCGCAGCACUCCUGUCAUUACUUAAGUUACAGUGGCAAGAAAACCUUGAAUGUGGGUCUCCACUCCUCCAUCAGCAUCAUCUGCGGCCUCCCAGGGUUGAGCCUCUCCAACUACUCUGCCUGUUCCUGUGCUGCCUCUACUCGCAGUCCCCAUUGACAACCAGCACAGGGUUUCCCAUCCAUGCAUCCAUCCAUCCCUGAACUCACCUCAGCCUUCAUUUGCCGCCUCCUCAUCUUCACUACACCCUUUGAGGAUCCUCCCACCUGCAACCCCAGGUUGUUCUCUUCAUCGUACUCACCAGUUGCCCAGUCGAUUCCUUCCCGUUCCUGUGACCUGUUGGGUUGGUGACAUUUCCCCUGUCUGUUCCUCAAAGCUAGUUAACAGUUUUGAGUGUUGCUCUCUGGGUCCACUCUUGUAAUUUCAGAUGGUAUAGGUCAUAAAACUAACUGGCAAUUCCAUUUCCUUCUUCCUUUCUUAUAUCAAACCCACAAACAAACUUGUGCAGCACAGUUUUAGCUCUAUUUAUCCAGUUCAGGAGUUGCAGUGCAGUUUUUGUAGAUGUUCUUACAGUAAAUAUGAUGGUGAGCAGUUUGCAUGAUUUUAGCUAGCAUGGGCACACACACACCUAAGCUGUGUUUUCAUUC